GAUUUGUGUAUGCUAUGCAUGCUCCUAUCAUUAAGUUACAUCCCCAGCUCCCAUAUAUAUAUAGAGAGAGGCACACAGUCUAACUAUAAUGUUAUAUAUAUAAAAUAAUGACUUUUAAAAAUGACAUUGGACAUCAGACAAUAACCCCCAAAGAUGGGAAGCAAAUGAGGUAAGCAUUAUGAUUGUCCAGUUUACUGCCUGGAGAGUUUCUAGGUGGUGGCAAAAGGCAGAACUUUAUAGUAGAGUCUGGCAGAUUCCCUGAGAUGAGGAGAUGGAGCUGAGAGUCCAGGGAAACCCAAAUAGCUAAGGUUUACAGGGUAGAAUAACAGGAGAGAUCUGCACAGAGAGAGAAAAAAAGACUAGCAGCAACCAAAUUGAAAGAUCUUCAGAGGGUCCUCAUUGGGUAUUCAGCAGAGUAUUCAGGAACUCAUGAAUGUAUGAUACUACUCCAAGUCAGAGAAAGAACCACCUGAAAAAUCAUGGAAACAAUAGCUACAACUCACGUGGGGCCAGAAGUGGUGGCUGUUUCCACCUGCCAGAUCAGUACUCCUAUCAUUCACAGAGCAUUAGGUAAAAUAUUCAGAAGGGUCUUGCCUCGGUUGUGGGACAAAAUUGGCACUAGACUAAAUGUUGCUCUAUUUCUGUCAAGCAAAUCUUAACCCCACCCCCACAAGAUCAAAUUGAGUUUUUUUUUAAAUAAAGAACUAAUAUAAUUUGUUGUUAUUAUUAUGUUAUUAUUAUUGGUACUAGGAAU
rnacentral:lncRNA from 1 species